UGAAACACGGACCAAGGAGUCUAACAUGUACGCAAGUCAUGGAGUUGCAAAACUCACAGGCGCAAUGAAAGUGAAGGUCAAUUUGGUUGGCCGAGGUAGGAUCCCUGGUUUACCGGGGCGCACUACCGUCCCAUCGCAUCUGCUUGUCAGAGCGGUGGAGAAAGAGCGUACACGUUGGGACCCGAAAGAUGGUGAACUAUGCCUGAGCAGGAUGAAGCCAGAGGAAACUCUGGUGGAGGUCCGUAGCGGUUCUGACGUGCAAAUCGAUCGUCAGACUUGGGUAUAGGGGCGAAAGACUAAUCGAACCAUCUAGUAGCUGGUUCCCUCCGAAGUUUCCCUCAGGAUAGCUGGCACUUAGAACGCAGUUUUACCCGGUAAAGCGAAUGAUUAGAGGCCUUGGGGACGAAACGACCUCAACCUAUUCUCAAACUUUAAAUGGGUAAGAAGUCUCGCUUGCCUGACCGAAGCUCAGACAUUGAAUGCGAGUGCCAAGUGGGCCAUUUUUGGUAAGCAG
rnacentral:rRNA from 1 species